rnacentral:rRNA from 1 species
ACGGGUGAGUAACACGUGGGUGAUCUGCCCUGCACUUCGGGAUAAGCCUGGGAAACUGGGUCUAAUACCGGAUAUGACCUCCUAUCGCAUGGUGGGUGGUGGAAAGAUUUAUCGGUGCAGGAUGGGCCCGCGGCCUAUCAGCUUGUUGGUGGGGUAAUGGCCUACCAAGGCGACGACGGGUAGCCGACCUGAGAGGGUGACCGGCCACACUGGGACUGAGACACGGCCCAGACUCCUACGGGAGGCGGCAGUGGGGAAUAUUGCACAAUGGGCGAAAGCCUGAUGCAGCGACGCCGCGUGAGGGAUGACGGCCUUUGGGUUGUAAACCUCUUUCAGCAGGGACGAAGCGCAAGUGACGGUACCUGCAGAAGAAGCACCGGCUAACUACGUGCCAGCAGCCGCGGUAAUACGUAGGGUGCAAGCGUUGUCCGGAAUUACUGGGCGUAAAGAGUUCGUAGGCGGUUUGUCGCGUCGUUUGUGAAAGCCAGCAGCUCAACUGCUGGCUUGCAGGCGAUACGGGCAGACUUGAGUACUGCAGGGGAGACUGGAAUUCCUGGUGUAGCGGUGAAAUGCGCAGA